UGUGCCAGCAGCCGCGGUAAUACGUAGGGUCCAAGCGUUAAUCGGAAUUACUGGGCGUAAAGCGUGCGCAGGCGGUUGUGCAAGACCGAUGUGAAAUCCCCGAGCUUAACUUGGGAAUUGCAUUGGUGACUGCACGGCUAGAGUGUGUCAGAGGGGGGUAGAAUUCCACGUGUAGCAGUGAAAUGCGUAGAGAUGUGGAGGAAUACCGAUGGCGAAGGCAGCCCCCUGGGAUAACACUGACGCUCAUGCACGAAAGCGUGGGGAGCAAACAGGAUUAGAUACCCCGGUAGUCC
rnacentral:rRNA from 1 species